rnacentral:tRNA from 1 species
GCUCCCAUGGCGUAGUGGUCACUGCGCUCGCCUUGCACGCGGGAGACCCGGGUUCGACUCUCGGCGGGGUCA